rnacentral:tRNA from 1 species
GAGUAGCCAAGUGGUAAGGCAACGGACUUUGACUCCGUCAUUCGUAGGUUCGAUCCCUACCUCCCCAGCCA